GGAUGGGCACCAGGUGAGGAAGGUUAAGGGAUCAAAGCCUGAGCAUCACCUGUGAGGAAGGCAGGGUGAUCACAAGGCAGGAUUUUAUCACCAGUCGUGCUAUGUUGGUGUCAAACCCAGGCUCCAGGAGUCAUGGGAUUAUGUGAAAUGCUCCGCUUUCUUUCAUUUACCCGCCCCUAUGUGCACAUGAAAAAAAGUAAGCUUCUAGCCCUUGUGUUAUGGGGAAAAAGCUAGAAAACUGCCCUGGGAAAGUCUCCAAAACAAGACCCGCAGCAAAAGAACCGCAAAUAGAGUCAAAAGAAAAAACUCUUUGGUGAUUUUUAAAUUGAUUUUGGGGUGGGGGAGAGAUUCAUAGUUUUGAAUGUCUGGAGUAGGCAAUACUGGAGAGGGACAAGGGGAAGGAGAAGCUGUGGCACUCUGGAGAAAUGGAUGUGUGGAAGCAGCUCAGGGAACAGGUAGCAGGGGAUGCAGGAGUGAGGUGGAAUAGGGGAGAAGAUCGAACCUAGGGGAGACGGUUGCAGAUAGGGAUAUGAAUAUGUGUAAAAUAUCCCUCAGAGGAUUCAAUUUGGAGAGAGACCAAAUAUACACUGGUUCUGCAAUGGCAGCACCUGCAGGGGCAGUAUGACCUGAUGAAAUGCACAGAAUUUUAGGUGCCAAGGCCAAGUGUAACACUUCUGCACUACGGUGGUACACUGUACUUCUUGUACGUCUGUCAGAAGCAGUCUGCAAAAAAUAAGAGUGGUGGCUGCCUCGAAAAUUCUGAGAAAAGGAAAUGAAAGUGAGAGAUGCAAGGGAUCGCUGCCUCCAAGUUGCUGUUGCCAUAGAACUGCUGCUGUUCAAGAAAAAACUGCAGCAUGGACUUCCUCUGCCACUGAAGCUAAUACCCAACUAGUGGAGCUGCUGGUAUGUGUGGGUGGAGGGGGAUCCAGCUACAGAAGAUUUGCUGCUCGCUGUGACAUUUUAUAAAUAAAUCUCUUUCAUUGGAAGUGAGUGGCAGGAAGUAUAUUUCUGCUGGCACCCAGGGUCAAAAUAAGAAACAGAAGAGUGUUCGUCUCCAUUUAAUUUUUUUUGUAUGUGUCUGACUAUUUUUUUCAGGCUGGUGAGCUACAGGGUUUGGAUACAUUAGCCAAACUGUUUGUUUAAAUGAGUUAUUGCUGUCACUGUUCUACUGAUGAGUGCUUGCAUUCCUCCUUGAAGCCAUUACUAAACUUGAAUCAACCCUGACAGUUGAUCUUAAAGUAAUCUGAGCACUGCAUUAAAAAAAGUCCUCUUUGGGGCAAAGGAAGCUAGAAAGGUGUCCCUCUGUCCCAGUCUCUUGGCCAGCUUUGUAUGUUCACUGUCUCAAUUUUUUGCUUUAUAUGUGUGGUUUCCAAUCCAACCUUGGGUAGUGUUUGACAGCUGAGUGGUUUACUUCAGGCUCCAAAAGUAAGUGCAUCUGGUGGAACAUGUAGCAUUGCUGGCUGA